rnacentral:rRNA from 1 species
CAUGCAGUCGAGCGAAGCAGUUAAGUUGAUUUCUUCGGAUUGAUUCUUAACUGACUGAGCGGCGGACGGGUGAGUAACGCGUGGGUGACCUGCCCCAUACCGGGGGAUAACAGCUGGAAACGGCUGCUAGUACCGCAUAAGCGCACAGAGCUGCAUGGCUCGGUGUGAAAAACUCCGGUGGUAUGGGAUGGGCCCGCGUCUGAUUAGGCAGUUGGCGGGGUAACGGCCCACCAAACCGACGAUCAGUAGCCGGCCUGAGAGGGCGACCGGCCACAUUGGGACUGAGACACGGCCCAAACUCCUACGGGAGGCAGCAGUGGGGAAUAUUGCACAAUGGGGGAAACCCUGAUGCAGCGACGCCGCGUGAGCGAAGAAGUAUUUCGGUAUGUAAAGCUCUAUCAGCAGGGAAGAUAAUGACGGUACCUGACUAAGAAGCCCCGGCUAACUACGUGCCAGCAGCCGCGGUAAUACGUAGGGGGCAAGCGUUAUCCGGAUUUACUGGGUGUAAAGGGAGCGUA